rnacentral:rRNA from 1 species
AUUGAACGCUGGCGGCAUGCUUUACACAUGCAAGUCGAACGGGUGAAGGGGCAACUCUUCAUUCAGUGGCGAACGGGUGAGUAAUGCAUCGGAACGUACCUCGUAGUGGGGGAUAACUCGGCGAAAGCCGUGCUAAUACCGCAUAUGCUCUACGGAGGAAAGCAGGGGACCUGAGAGGGCCUUGUGCUAUGGGAGCGGCCGAUGUCCGAUUAGCUAGUUGGNGGGGUAAUGGCCUACCAAGGCGACGAUCGGUAGCUGGUCUGAGAGGAUGAUCAGCCACACUGGGACUGAGACACGGCCCAAACUCCUACGGAGGCAGCAGUGGGGAAUAUUGCGCAAUGGGCGGAAGCC